GACGAACGCUGGCGGCGUGCUUAACACAUGCAAGUCGAACGGAAAGGCCCUGCUUUUUGGGGGUGCUCGAGUGGCGAACGGGUGAGUAACACGUGAGUAACCUGCCCUUGACUUUGGGAUAACUUCAGGAAACUGGGGCUAAUACCGGAUAGGAGCUCCUGCUGCAUGGUGGGGGUUGGAAAGUUUCGGCGGUUGGGGAUGGACUCGCGGCUUAUCAGCUUGUUGGUGGGGUAGUGGCUUACCAAGGCUUUGACGGGUAGCCGGCCUGAGAGGGUGACCGGCCACAUUGGGACUGAGAUACGGCCCAGACUCCUACGGGAGGCAGCAGUGGGGAAUAUUGCACAAUGGGCGGAAGCCUGAUGCAGCAACGCCGCGUGCGGGAUGACGGCCUUCGGGUUGUAAACCGCUUUCGCCUGUGACGAAGCGUGAGUGACGGUAAUGGGUAAAGAAGCACCGGCUAACUACGUG
rnacentral:rRNA from 1 species